rnacentral:lncRNA from 1 species
AAAAAUAUAUGAAUUACCAACAAAUAUAAGUAUUGAAUUGAGAAAUAUAAAUAUGGAAUAAGUUGAACUAUUUAACGCCCCUCCCCUGCCAGCUACGUGGCAUUGAUGUUACGUCUGCGUGGCGGGAAUACGGUCAAAAUUAUAAUUAUAAAUUUGAUGGAAUUAUUUAUGAUUUUUUUUUUUUUUGAGUGCCAAAUACAAAAAAAGUCAAAGUUUAUGUGUCUAAGAAAAAUAUAUAUUGCAAAAAAAUAUAAGUAUUGAAUAGGAAGAACAUAAGUAUGAAAUACGAUAAAGGGUUCAACUUUUGUUCCUUCCCUUGCGUGGCGGGAUAAAAUCAAAAUUAUAAUUAUUAAUUUAAUAGGACUAUUUGUGAAAUUCUUUUCUUUUGAGAAAGUCAAAUGCAAAA